CUGGACUCAGUGGCUUUUAGUACUCAUUGCCAUGACUGUCUAAGCGCUGAGUGCCACAUGGGGGCUAGCAAAGUCUACAGUGCCUGUGAACGUCACUGGUGCCAGGUUGGGUGAUGCUGGAAGGGCAAGUGGCUGUGCUCUGAUGAGCCAGUUCUGAUGUGGUGGAUGCCAGGUGCCACCGUGGGAGCUUGGCUGCAGCUCGGUCGCUUUGAAAGUUGAUAUGUUUUCUUGUAUGUAGCUCUUGAAUGUGGCUGUAUUUUCUGGCAGCUGCAUAAAAUGGCUUUGAAAAAUAAUAGCAGCUUUUAAGUCAACGUUUUUGGUGUCAGCAUUCACUGCAGGCUACUAGAAGCUAAUCGGUUUAAAUUCCUACUUGGCAAAUGAAAUUCCUGUCUUGCUGGCCUCUCUCUUUAACCCAGUUCUUGUAACUGCUGCUUGUCUUUCACUUUCCUUCUAAUGUGUCUGGUCCAAGAGAUGUGUGGUUGCUGAGGUGUAGGAUCUGGUGUGUUUCUGAAGGUACCCAUGCUUGAGCCUCUCUCCUUUUUAUAGGAGAGAGUGGAGGAGGAAAGAAAGGCAGAAGUUGGUGAAGCUUUAGCCCCUGCCUUCAGCACAGUUCAGCUGAUGAAAGCCACCAGUCAUUGCUCUCAGCAAGGGACCUGGUUCCAACCGUCGUGCUUGGGCUGAGACAGGGAAGAAAGCUUGAAUGUGGGAUCCUCAAGGCAGUGAGUUAUUCAGAUGACCAGCAAAGAGUGAGUUAAGGAGUCAGAGAAAUAUCAGACAUCAUCUGGAUGAAGGUAGAAGCUUAGAAGGAACACAGCUGGACUGCGCCUGCAGUUCUGUGCGUUAGAUCUGAGGUAAAAUGCAGCUUGUUGGUAUGAUCCAGUUCAGUUUCAGGAGCCAAUAUGUGACUGUGAGAAUGAAAGAGAGUGCAAAUACAGGCUAGAAAGACAGAUCUAAUGGCAAUUUAGCUUUUAUGCUGCAGUUUUUCUCUAUAUCAGAUACUCACAAGGAAGGAUGCAUACCAUUCUCCUGUCUUUGUGAAGGCCUUAGCCCUCGUGGUGGGGAAUUGGGGAGUGAGAUUUUGAAGUGUGAAUUCCAUGCGAUAGGAAAGCAGAGGUUCCCCAGGGGGGCGUGCACAGCACCUACCCAAGGUAGCUUCUGAGGCUGAGGGCUGGCUAAGUGCAUAAGGUGGUGAUAAUGGUCUGUGAUGGCUGGUGGGGUCAUUAUUUCUGGGGAUUUAACCACGCUGGAUGCUCAGCCUUGCACAGCACAAGCUUUGCUAGCAUGAAGUUACACUGCAUGUUGUGGAGACGCUGAGGGUGCCUGAACCACUGCCUAAGUUCCCUGUGCACAGCUGCCUGCCAGCCGGAUGGUACAGGAGCAGGGUAGGACCACUCUCACCUGAUGAGAAAUCAGUAACAAAUAACGUAUCUCAGGGUGCACUUGAUCACUUGUGCCAAGUCCUCUUCUACUGAGAGGUACCUGUGCCAGGAUGGGCUGGACAGUCUGUUGGGCUGCAUAUUGCCAUUUUUCCUCUCUGUGCCUGUGUAAAUACUGGGCAUUCAGCCUGACCUUCACUUGGCAUUUCAAGGGACAGUCUGAGCAGUGCCAGGGUCUUCAUGAGUGAUGUGCUGUGCCCUGGUACAAAACCAGGAGCGUUUGCUUUUCACAGACAGCUCAAGCUGGAUGUUGAGAUGACAGGGCCAGGGCUCGCCUCCUCUGCAGCCCACCAACAUGAAGCAUUUGCUUUGUAAUAGCCAGUGCCCAAGGCCUGAUUUCUAUGCAGGGUCUGUAGGGAGGGGGAAGCAAAAA